rnacentral:rRNA from 1 species
AGCGAACGCUGGCGGCAGGCUUAACACAUGCAAGUCGAACGGGCACUUCGGUGUCAGUGGCAGACGGGUGAGUAACGCGUGGGAACAUACCUCUUGGUUCGGAACAACACAGGGAAACUUGUGCUAAUACCGGAUAAGCCCUUACGGGGAAAGAUUUAUCGCCGAGAGAUUGGCCCGCGUCUGAUUAGCUAGUUGGUGUGGUAAAAGCGCACCAAGGCGACGAUCAGUAGCUGGCUGAGAGGAUGAUCAGCCACAUUGGACUGAGACACGGCCCAAACUCCUACGGGAGGCAGCAGUGGGGAAUAUUGGACAAUGGGCGCAAGCCUGAUCCAGCCAUGCCGCGUGAGUGAUGAAGGCCCUAGGGUUGUAAAGCUCUUUUGUGCGGGAAGAUAAUGACGGUACCGCAAGAAUAAGCCCCGGCUAACUUCGUGCCAGCCGCCGCAGUAAC